CCGGUGGCCUGCUAAAUCAGCAUCCCCAGCAACAGCAAACCACAACAGCAACAGUUGCAGAAGGAGCCGCGUCGCAGUUGGAGCCAUGGAGGAUGGCGCACUCAAGCGACGGACAGCAGUAGCCGUUUCGGCCCCUGAUAACGAUGGAUGGAUGACUGAGACAUGGACUGGACUGGACUGGCUCUGGGUGCGUCUCUGUCUAAAUGGAACACUGUACUCCGAGGGGUAUGGCUCUGACCGGUGCGAAGCGACGCGACCACCGAUCGGGAUGGCUGGAUCAGCAUCUGGUUGGACGGCUUCUAAUGCCUCUUUCAAAUGUGCCGCACUUCCUACGGGAUCUACUUGGCACCGCACCACUCUUCUCCUGCCACUUCGCUAUUAAUUAGAAUGUAUGGUCGCUGCUUAUGUGCCCCUGCCCUCUGCCCAUGCCACUUCUCCGUUACCGUUCAUUUUUGGCAUUUCAGAGUUAACGGCACGCGACAUUUUAAAUAUGUAUGAUGUGCCCUCCAUCCAUCGCGCUGGGCUCUGCUCCUGUUUUGGGGUUCUCGGACUGCCACUCGCCUCGUUUGCACCCAACCAGCGCAGGGGCAGAGGACGGACGCGAACACGACUGUCCGCCCUGGGGCAGCUGUUGAAAUUGAUGCCUGGCCGCCUGGCGUUCGGCACUUGUGUCGAAUAUGCAGCACGGAUGGGGAAUGGGAUGCGGAUACACGAGUCGUCCUGGGCAUGAACCAAGAUAAUGAACGCCAUAGCGGGACAGCGGCCGAAUCUGGGAUACUCUAGCUAAAUCAAACUCACGGAGGUUCCGAAUUCGAACAAACU